CCUACGGGGGACAGCAGUGAGGAAUAUUGGUCAAUGGGCGCUAGCCUGAACCAGCCAAGUAGCGUGAAGGAUGACUGCCCUAUGGGUUGUAAACUUCUUUUAUAUGGGAAUAAAGUGCAGUAUGUAUACUGCUUUGCAUGUACCUUAUGAAUAAGGAUCGGCUAACUCCGUGCCAGCAGCCGCGGGAAUACGGAGGAUCCGAGCGUUAUCCGGAAUCAUUGGGCGUAAAGAGUUCGUAGGCGGCACGGAAAGGCUGGUGUUAAAGGCAGAGGCUCAACUUCUGUACGGCACUGGAUACUUGCGAGCUAGAAUGCGGUAGAGGUAAAGGGAAUUCCUGGUGUAGCGGUGAAAUGCUUAGAUAUCAGGAGGAACAUCGGUGGCGUAAGCGCUUUACUGGGCCGUAAUUGACGCUGAGGAACGAAAGCCAGGGUAGCAAAUGGGAUUAGAUACCCCUGUAGUC
rnacentral:rRNA from 1 species